rnacentral:rRNA from 1 species
GACGAACGCUGGCGGCGUGCUUAACACAUGCAAGUCGUACGGUAAGGCCCUUUCGGGGGUCCACGAGUGGCGAACGGGUGAGUAACACGUGAGUAACCUGCCCACAACUUUGGGAUAACGCUAGGAAACUGGUGCUAAUACUGGAUAUGUGCUCCUGCUGCAUGGUGGGGGUUGGAAAGCUCCGGCGGUUGUGGAUGGACUCGCGGCCUAUCAGCUUGUUGGUGGGGUAGUGGCCUACCAAGGCGGCGACGGGUAGCCGGCCUGAGAGGGUGACCGGCCACAUUGGGACUGAGAUACGGCCCAGACUCCUACGGGAGGCAGCAGGGGGGAAUAUUGCACAAGGGGCGCAAGCCUGAUGCAGCAACGCCGCGUGCGGGAUGACGGCCUUCGGGUUGUAAACCGCUUUCAGCAGGGACGAAGCUUUUUGUGACGGUACCUGCAGAAGAAGCACCGGCUAACUACGUG